rnacentral:rRNA from 1 species
ACGAUGUGCGGGCCAGCGGGAGGGUGAGUACGAAGGGGGCUAUGGUUGGUCGGAAUGACUGGUCUGAAAUCGCACGUAGGCGGAUCGCUAAGUCGGGGGUGAAAGCCUGGAGCGCAACUCCAGAACUGCCGUCGAUACUGGCGAUCUUGAGUCCGGGAGAGGUGAGUGGAACGCCGAGGGUAGAGGUGAAAUUCGUAGAUAUUCGGAAGAACACCAGUGGCGAAGGCGGCUCACUGGCCCGGUACUGACGCUGAGGUGCGAAAGCGUGGGGAGCAAACAGGAUUAGAUACUCCAGUAGUC